AUGAGUGGCUAAUAUUGAUGUGGUUGGCAAUGCUUUCACCAUAAUCAAUGAGAAAAUCUUUGGAUAUGCUAUAACGUUGAAAAUGGGAUACCUCCAAGCUAUCAUAUCCAUAAAUUGGAAGCAUAAUUAAGCAUUUCAUGUUUUACUAGCUCUGCCAUUGCAUUUCUUGAUGGGUUCAUUAGGUUAUACCAGAAUUGUUACUCAUAUCAAAUUUUCUCUUCCUUUGGUUACAUUACAGUGUGUUUUCAUCAAAAUGGCAAAAUUUUCCUAUCUUACAAGACCUUGUUGCAGGUACCUAUUUGGAGAUGGACACUGAUGGGGGUGCCGAUGGACUCAAAUAUGAGUGCUUGCUCUUUGGUAUGUUAAUACAACUCUCAAAUAACUUGUAUAUUAAUUUCCUGGUUUUUAACAUUUCAAGGGUUCUAUUGGUAUGCUUUUUAGAUUUGGAUGAUACUUUGUAUUCUAUGAGCUCAGGUCUCAACUUGGCUUGCCGAAAGAACAUAGAAGAGUUCAUGUUGCAUCACUUGCAUAUUGAAGAAAGUGAAGUUCCAAGGAUGUGCCUGGAAUUGUAUAGAGAAUAUGGAACAACAAUGGCUGGUCUGAAGGCUCUUGGUUACGAAUUUGAUGAUGAUGAGUUCCAUGCUUUUGCUCAUGGAAGAUUACCUUAUGAAAAACUGAAGCCUGAUGCUGUAUUAAGGAACCUUCUACUUUCCUUGCCACAAAGGAAAAUAAUCUUCACUAACGCUGAUAAGGCACAUGCAGCUGAAGUUCUGAAAAGGUUGGGAUUGGAAGAUUGUUUUGAAGGAAUCAUAUGCUUUGAAACUCUUAAUCCUCCUGUUGGAGCUACUAAUUACACGGAUGCAUUAGAAAAUGAUGCGGUACUUGCAGGAGGUGAACCAAAGCUCAUUGAUCUUGAUGAUGCUGACAAAAAACGUUCCCACCCCAAGCCACAAAUUCUCUUCUGGAGGCUAUUGAAGCCGCCAUCCGAAUUGCAAAUGUUGACCCCAAGAGAACAGUAGAGACUCGAGACUUCUCUAAACUUUAGCAUUUCUCAGCAUAAUUUUACCAUUAAAGAAAUCAUAAAGGGUUAUUCUUUUCACUUCCUUCUCAGAUCUUCUUUGAUGACAGUGCUAGAAACAUUGCAAGUGGGAAAGCAGCAGGACUUCAUACAGUCAUUGUAAGAUCUCAAUUUUGCUUUGAUCGCAAAAAUCAAAACUCUGUAUAAAUUUCGACCCAUCAAAGUCAUGAGAACCUAUGCGCAGAUCACUUCGUCAUAUAAAAAAUGCAUUAAAUCAAAGAAGAUAUAUUUAACAUGGCUGAAUCAUGAUGGCAGGUAGGGAAGUCAGUCCCAGUGGCAGGCGCAGACUAUGCUUUGAGUAGCAUCCACAAUAUCAAAGAAGCAAUACCCGAAAUAUGGGAGGGUGAAGGAGAACAGCAAGAGCAGGUUAUCCAGCCCAGUGCUGUUGAAACAGUGGUCCUCGCUUAGGUUUCUCUUCAGUUCACACAUACAAAAAUCCUGGUAUCAAGCGGACUGUAUGGUAAAGGCUAAAAGAGUGGGAAAAUAGUAGAUGAUGCUUAAUUCAAAACCACCAUGCAGAUUUCAUAAUAAAACCUUAUCAGAGGAGUUAAAAGCUCAUUGUAUUUGACAUGUUCAUGCAAAAAGCCAAACUCAUAGUUGGUGGCACUACCGCACUAAAGAAAAGGAAAAUAUGGUUACAAUUAAUCUAACAAGGCUCUGUUCAGUUGAGAGUGUAACACACAGUAUUUGCAUUUAUUUUCACAUAACAAUAGUAGGUGCACUUUUAUCAUGAGCCGACAAAGCAUUGUUUUAAUUUCUCUGAACUAAAAUGGAUGAUGUUUCAGAUACAUGGUAUUGUAAAAAACCAUUCCACGAUCAAAAAGGACAUAGAUCUUAAGAAAAUUGGGAUGCACAAUCAAGAAAUUGCAGUCCAGUAUCGUGCAACAUAAUCUGUGAGCACGUAGAUCAGCCAUCCAACGGUAGCUCACCACAAUUGAUAAUCCUGCAUGGUGCUCGAGGGUUAUCUGACCUGCUUGUCUCUACAGAUUCCAGUUUCCGAACAACAUCCAUUCCAUCAAUGACAUUUCCAAACACAACAUGACGGUUGUCCAACCAUGGAGUCUUUACUGUACAAAUGAAAAAUUGGCUUCCAUUUGUAUUAGGGCCUGCAUUAGCCAUGCUCAAAACUCCAGGUCCAACAUGCUUCAGAUCAAAGCUCUCAUCUGCAAAGCUAGAACCAUAUAUGCUAAUUCCUCCAGUUCCAUUGCCUUCUGUGAAAUCCCCUCCCUGGAUCAUGAAAUCUUUAAUAAUACGGUGGAAAGAGCAUCCUUUAUAACCAUAUCCCUUCUCUCCUGUGCACAAGGCACGGAAGUUCUCAACAGUUUUUGGGACAACAUCUCCAAAAAGGCCCAUCACAAUUCUACCUGCAGGUUCACCUCCGAUAUCAACAUCAAAGAAGCACUUGGUUGUAACUUUUGCUUGCAGCUCAACAUCAUUUGUCAUCGAGUUGACGCAGGCCAUUCUCCUUUGCUUAACAGCAGGCGCUUUAAAAAGCUGUGUGAUGGGGACACUCAAUGCAUAGUGAGAUCUUGAUGUCAAUGCUCUUCCAGCUAAACUCAAAGUUGCUUUAGAUAUCACAAAUGGCCCACUCAGAUUUGUAACAUCUAGACCAAGAUUACCCUUAACCACAAGGCGAGGGUUAUGCACCAGUUGCACUGAGAAUGUAGAGGCCAUUUGGCUCCUUGAAUGGAAUGGUAUUCUGGGUUUGGCUUGGCAGGUUAAAGAUAAGACUCUGCUAGCAGAAGACGAGAUAGAUGUUGGAGAAGAAACGAGAUGAAAGAAAAAGGCUUGGACACCUUGGGAGAGGGGUUUUUAGUUUUAUUG
rnacentral:misc_RNA from 1 species